rnacentral:rRNA from 1 species
AGGACGAACGCUGGCGGCGUGCUUAACACAUGCAAGUCGAGCGGAAAGGCCCUUCGGGGUACUCGAGCGGCGAACGGGUGAGUAACACGUGAGUAAUCUGCCCCUAGCUCUGGGAUAGCUCCGGGAAACCGGGAUUAAUACCGGAUACGACCACCUUAGACAUCUUUUGUGGUGGAAAGAAUUUCGGCUAGGGAUGAGCUCGCGGCCUAUCAGCUUGUUGGUGGGGUAACGGCCUACCAAGGCGACGACGGGUAGCCGGCCUGAGAGGGCGACCGGCCACACUGGGACUGAGACACGGCCCAGACUCCUACGGGAGGCAGCAGUGGGAAUAUUGCGCAAUGGGCGAAAGCCUGACGCAGUGACGCCGCGUGGGGGAUGAAGGCCUUCGGGUUGUAAACCCUUUCAGCAGGGACGAAGCGAAAGUGACGGUACCUGCAGAAGAAGCGCCGGCUAACUACGUGCCAGCAGCCGC